GCUGAGUGACAUCUCUUGUGUACAUUUUUGUUUUAAUUUUAUUUCUUUUAUUCAAGAUGGGAAUGAGGGUUUUGGCUACCAAGUGUAUCUAUUCUCUGACUUCAGUGUCUAGAAGAACAUUAAAAAGAAAAGGAAUAGAGAAAGAAAGAAGCAAGCAAGCAAACAAACAAAGAGAAGUAGUCCUUUUGAGACAGAAGCAUUUAGUCCUCUGAGAGUCUCCAUCCAGAAGCUGACUGAGAGAGAUGCAGAUACCCACAGCCAAACAGUGGACAGAGCUUGGGGACUCUUAUGGAAGAAUAGGAGGAAGAAUUGCUGGCCCUGAAGGAGAUAACUCCAUAGGAAGACCAACAGAGUCAGCUAACCUGGACCCUUCGGGCUUACAGAGACUGCCAUCAACAAAAGAACAUAGAUGGGCUGGACCUAGGCCUCUAUGCUCAUAUAUAGCAGAUGUUUAGCUUGGUCUUCAUGUGAGUCCUAAACAACUGAAACAGGGGCUAUUCCUAAAGCUGUUGCCUGUCUGUGGGAUAUGUUCGGCUAGGUGGGCUGCCUUGUCAGGCCUCAGUGGGAGACGAAGCUCCUAACCUCAGGGAGACUUGAAGUACCUAGGUGAGGGGAAUAUACUCAGGAGGGGACCCUGCCCACUCAAAGGAGAAAGGAAGUGUGAUGUGGGAGGGGUUGUGGGAGGGGAUUCCUGGGAUACAAGUCAGGGAGUGGGAUGUAGAGUGAAUAAGUAAAAAAAUUAAAUUAAAUUAAAUUAAAAUACGAAUUUUACUUUUAAAAAGAAUUUUCUCCUCAUUGGUAAGUUUUGCUUCUUUAUACACAUGAAUUCUUUACAGAGCUGUUUCAAAUGUUUUGUAGCAUUGCUUAUAUGUUUCAGUUAUGAGCCAUAAAGAAUGACUGUAAUAAAAUGACUGUG
rnacentral:lncRNA from 1 species